CACGUAGGGUGCGAGCGUUGUCCGGAAUUAUUGGGCGUAAAGAGCUCGUAGGCGGUGUGUCGCGUCGGCCGUGAAAACCUGCAGCUUAACUGUGGGCUUGCGGUCGAUACGGGCAUCACUGGAGUUCGGCAGGGGAGACUGGAAUUCCUGGUGUAGCGGUGAAAUGCGCAGAUAAUCAGGAGGAACACCGGUGGCGAAGGCGGGUCUCUGGGCCGAUGACUGACGCUGAGGAGCGAAAGCGUGGGGAGCGAACAGG
rnacentral:rRNA from 1 species